UUCUCGCUCAAAGGAUCGCAUUCAAAGCUCACACACAGAAUAUUCCUCACGGGAUAUUCUCCUCUCUUCGAGAGAGGUAAUGGCUUUGGGAGAAAGUCCCCGGACAUCCUGACCUUCAUAUCGGUCAGGCAUUGCGGAAACGCGCCGCCAUAGAAGCAAUUCGAUAGCGGCUGACUGCCCUAUUCCCUCCCGGUAUCCUGUUUGUAUCCGACGCCUUCACGGUGGAAACAAUGGUGGUAUAGCUGGGUGCCGGAGAGGGGUUUAUCUGGGUUGCCAUUCGUCGUGUUUGGAUAGUCAUGCGAUUGCCUGGUUCCCUUGCAGGGACUGGGUAACUCAAUGGGGCUCAUUCUUGAGGCGAGG
rfam:Aspergillus nomius NRRL 13137 contig00266, whole genome shotgun sequence.